AGCAACAUAGAUGGACCUAGAGAUUAUCAUACUAAGUGAAGUAAGCCAGACAAAGACAAAUAUCAUGAUAUUGCUUAUACAUGGAAUCUAAAAAGUGAUACAAAUGAACUUCUUUACAAAACAGAAAUGGACCCACAGACAUAAAAGACUUAUGGUUACCAAAUGAAAAGGGAAGGAACAAGUUAGGAGCUUGGAAUCAACAUACACACACUGCUGUACAUAAAACAGAUAACCACCAAAGAUCUACUCUACAGCACAGGGAACUAAUUCAAUAUUUUGUAAUAAUAUAUUAGGGAAAAAGAUCUGGAAAAGAACAGAAUAUAUAUGGCAUCAGAGAUAUAUAUAUAUCUGAAUCAUUUUGCCGUACACCUGAAACUAAUAAAACAUUGUAAAUCUACUAUUUUGCAAUUUAAAAAAAGCUCCUGGAGUGUCCUUGUGGCACAGCAGGUUAAGGAUCAAGUUUCAUCCCUGACCUGAGAACUUCCACAUGCAGCAGCUCACCAUGCAGCUGGAAUUCCAAAUUUUAUAACUCAAAUCUGGCUUCCUCUUAUCACAGAAACUGCUUUUAACCAUUCAAAGCAAGUCCUUAAUUAUCUCCCAUUGUUGAUAUGUAAAGCCUUUUUAGAACGUAGUAUGAAUUAGAUUCAUAAUAGAUGCCUAUUAAAAAUUCAGAGGCUUUGUUUAAGCAAAACCAUUUAGGUGAACUACAAGGUUAAAGCCUUAGAGGGGAAAUCGCGGAGAAAUCCAAUUUUUUUUUUCUUUUCAUGACAUCAUGUUAAAAAAAUGAAUAAAACAUACCUUCUUCUGUGGGGUCUGUAGCUGAAGCAGAGACAUUAGAAUAAAUGUUCCAGGAAAAAGGAGUAUAUUGCACAGACACCCCCCCCCCCACGCCCACCUCUUCCCCUUUCAAGCUCUCAGAUCUUUUCAUGGUGUUUUUGGUGGGUGGCUUGGCUGCUUGCAGUGGGUUUUAGCCUUCAGGCAUCAAUGACUUUGUACUUCAGGUUUCUGGAUUGAGACUUUGGGGAGGAAAGGAGAACACUCGAAAGGUAAUUGCCACUUGAUGACAGAAAAUAAGCAAAAGCAGUAAGAAGACCCCAGUCAGCUUCCGCUCACCCUUCCUCGAAGCAAACGGCACCCCAGUCACUUCACUGUACAACUUGACUGUGUGACUUCCGUGUGACCUGGGCCAAAAAACGGCAUUUGUCAUCUAAGGCUUAUUUGUUGUUAUGUGUCGCAACAGACUGAUGGGAAUUGCUUGUCUAACGUGGAAAUAGCUUUGUUUAAAAAAAAAAAAAAAAAAAAAAAAAAAAAAAUUUUUUUUUCAUGGCACCAGGCAUCUGGAGACCACUGUUUGUGAUGUCUGGCUUUGAUCAGUGGCUUCAUUAUCAGCUAAGCUUUCAAAGAGACAGACACCUACUUCUGGCCAUUUCUGUUUGGCAGCAACCAAGAUGCAAACGUUCAGCCCAUGUGAGUAUCUUUUUAUUUGCUUUUCUUGGGCGACUUCUGAUUGAUCAUGUUAAAAGAGGAGGUUCACUUUUACAAUUCCUUUUUUGAGGAACUGGGCGAUUAUUUUGCCUUUCAUAAGCAGAAUCCAGGGCAGAGGUAAGCAGAGGAACAUAUGCAGAACAAAACGGGGGAGCCAGGGGCCGCCAGCGUGCAAGGAGCCCAUUCACCCACCAAUACUGAGAGAUGACUGCACCCUGAGACGCAGCCCUUAACCGAGAUGUAGCCCUUGACUGUGAACUACACAAAAAAAAGGGAGGAGUCAGCACUGACCUCUUGCUUCCCCUCUUCUGAGUCCUACAGGUUCCUGCCCUUUCCCUUCCCCAUCCUGCACCCCCAGCUCACUAUUUCCACUCCCAGCAGAGUUACAAUGAAGGCAGGCUGCCCAGCUACAAAGAUAGUCACACACCCUCCUGGGCAAGCAGCAAGGACAUCCAGGCAAGCUAACAAGAUGCAAAUCCCUUUCAAUGUGGCUAAUGCCUUUUUUUUAUCUCUAAGCCAAGGCCCAGAAAAUGCAUUCUUUCAGGUAGUUUUAUAAUAGAGCUUUGACCCUACUGUCGAAUGUGUCACAUGAAUUUAAAUAAAUUGCAUGUAGUCAGCAGAGGAGACAGGUGUGCCUUUGUUUAGUCUGUGAGGCCAUUUUCAUGGUUAAAGAGAACUGAUCUUGUCCUUAAGGCCAGGCUCAAGGAUAACUCUGCCCCCAUUAUGGAUCAUUUUGGUGCUGGCCGCUGUUGAACUGCUUGGUGGCUGGGAGAAUGCUAUAGAAAUAGAGGCACAUACUGACCAGGAGUCUUGGGGUUAGGUAGCAAGUGUCACUUUGUUCAGGUCACGUUGAAGAGCCAAGAACAAAGGAAUCGGGAGUUCCCACUGUGGCUCAGCAGUAACGAACCCAACGGGUUCAAUCCCUGGCCUCCCUCGAUGGGUUAAGGAUUGGCGUUGCCGAGAGCUGUGGUGUAGGUUGUAGAUGUAGCUUGGAUCCCAUAUUGCUGUGGCUGUAGUGUAGGCUGGCAGCUGUAGCUCCAGUUCAACCCCUAGCCUGGGAACUUCCAUAUGCUGUGGGUGCAGCCAUAAAAGAAAAAAAAAAAAAAAAAA
ensembl:lncRNA